rnacentral:rRNA from 1 species
AACGUUGGGCGCUAGAUGUAGGGACCUUUCCACGGUUUCUGUGUCGUAGCUAACGCAUUAAGCGCCCCGCCUGGGGAGUACGGCCGCAAGGCUAAAACUCAAAGGAAUUGACGGGGGCCCGCACAAGCGGCGGAGCAUGCGGAUUAAUUCGAUGCAACGCGAAGAACCUUACCAAGGCUUGACAUACACCGGAAACGGCCAGAGAUGGUCGCCCCCUUGUGGUCGGUGUACAGGUGGUGCAUGGUUGUCGUCAGCUCGUGUCGUGAGAUGUUGGGUUAAGUCCCGCAACGAGCGCAACCCUCGUUCUAUGUUGCCAGCGGGUUAUGCCGGGGACUCAUAGGAGACUGCCGGGGUCAACUCGGAGGAAGGUGGGGAUGACGUCAAAUCAUCAUGCCCCUUAUGUCUUGGGCUUCACGCAUGCUACAAUGGCCGGUACAAAGGGCUGCGAUACCGUAAGGUGGAGCGAAUCCCAAAAAGCCGGUCUCAGUUCGGAUUGAGGUCUGCAACUCGACCUCAUGAAGUCGGAGUCGCUAGUAAUCGCAGAUCAGCAACGCUGCGGUGAAUACGUUCCCGGGCCUUGU